AAAAUUUUUGUGACUGCGUGCAAUGCGGUUGGUAGAGUCAGUGUUUGUUGCGAAAUAUUUUUAUAUUUUUCUGAGCAAAAUGGCUCUCAUUAAAUUAAAUAAUCAAUCCAUUCAAACUGUAAUUCGCGAAGUUAGAGUCAGUGAGUCUAUCGAUUGUUAUUUAAACGCGCGCGUUGAUAGUCUUUCAUUUUUAUUUUUUUGUAUUUUCUUUUGUCGAAUAUUCGUUUUCGUUAUUAGAGUUAGUGCUCAAGAGGAUAAGGCCUCUCCUUAGAUCAAGAUCACGCUUCACAGCAUCAAGUUUUGCAUUUUUUGGGGAAAAUCCAACGGUGACUCUAGAGUCAAUAAUAUCUCCUAGAGUCUCUACUUCCCCUGAUCCUGCAAGAAUCUUAUGAUGCUUCAAAAGUUAA